UACGUAGGGUGCGAGCGUUAAUCGGAAUUACUGGGCGUAAAGCGUGCGCAGGCGGCUCUUCUAAGUCAGAUGUGAAAGCCCCGGGCUUAACCUGGGAAUUGCGUUUGAAACUGGAGGGCUGGAGUGUGGCAGAGGGAGGUGGAAUUCCACGUGUAGCAGUGAAAUGCGUAGAGAUGUGGAGGAACACCGAUGGCGAAGGCAGCCUCCUGGGCCAACACUGACGCUCAUGCACGAAAGCGUGGGGAGCAAACAGGAUUAGAUACCCUGGUAGUCCACGCCCUAAACGAUGUCGACUAGUUGUUGGGGAAGGAAACUUCCUUAGUAACGAAGCUAACGCGUGAAGUCGACCGCCUGGGGAGUACGGCCGCAAGGUUAAA
rnacentral:rRNA from 1 species